rnacentral:rRNA from 1 species
GUUGGGUUAAUCCCGCAACGAGCGCAACCCUCGACCUUAGUUGCCAGCAUUCAGUUGGGCACUCUAAAGGUGACUGCCGGCUAAAAAGUCGGAGGAAGGUGGGGAUGACGUCAAAUCAUCAUGCCCCUUAUGACCUGGGCUACACACGUGCUACAAUGGGCGGUACAAAGGGUCGCGAACCCGCGAGGGGGAGCCAAUCCCAAAAAGCCGCUCUCAGUUCGGAUUGCAGGCUGCAACUCGCCUGCAUGAAGCCGGAAUCGCUAGUAAUCGCGGAUCAGCAUGCCGCGGUGAAUACGUUCCCGGGCCUU